CCGAGUAACCUUGCUGAGGGGGAAACACCCGUUCCCAUUCCGAAUACGGUAGUUAAGCUCCUCAAGGCCGAUGGUACUACACGGGCAACUGUGUGGGAGAGUAGGUAGUUGCUCGGU
rnacentral:rRNA from 1 species